CCUCCCAUCCCUCAUUCCUUAUCCCUCAUAUCUUGUCCUUCGUCCAUAUAAGGGCGAGUGCAAUCACAUUCAGAAGGACUUGGACACAUUGAGAGGAAAUGGAGUUUCAAAUGGCAUACAGACGAGGAGGCACACAAAGACUUCACUCUCUCUACACCUCUGAUGAAUAUAACAGGAAACCUGUUCAAUUACCACGCACCUCAAAAAUCAUUCUGGCUAUGGAUACGGAGAACAUCAACAAAUGAUCAUCAACACGUCAGAGGACAUCCUCAUUGGACUUGGGGCUCUGCUGGGAGUUUACCUCAUAUUUGGAUGUUGUAAUUCUGCUUUGUCACUAAAAUCAUAAUAAACACU